CACUUGUUGUUUCCUGGGCGGGUUCGCCCGCCCUCCAGGACCACAUGAUAAACCUUUUUUAUGCAGUUGCAAUCAGCGUCAGUACAACAAAUGUAAAUCAUUUACAACUUUCAACAACGGAUCUCUUGGUUCUGGCAUCGAUGAAGAACGCAGCGAAAUGCGAUACGUAGUGUGAAUUGCAGAAUUCAGUGAAUCAUCGAAUCUUUGAACGCACAUUGCGCCCUUUGGUAUUCCAAAGGGCAUGCCUGUUCGAGCGUCAUUUGUACCCUCAAGCUUUGCUUGGUGUUGGGCGUUUUUUGUCUUUGGUUUUGUCCAAAGACUCGCCUUAAAACGAUUGGCAGCCGGCGUACUGGUUUCGCAGCGCAGCACAUUUUUGCGCUUGCUAUCAGCAAAAGAGGACGGCACUCCAUCAAGACUCUAUUCACUUUGACCU
rnacentral:rRNA from 1 species